rnacentral:sRNA from 1 species
CCCAAUUUGGAAUCAAGAUGUAUUGUAUGGGGGCAUGUGCACUACCGUCGAAUCAAGGGAUAUCCCAAUGGCGGAAGUAAAGGUCGGUAGCCAAAUGACGAAAUAAGUUGCCUCACUGUAUCUGCUAGGUGAGGAGUUGCAACAAAUGAUAAUAAACUACCGAUUGUGUGACUGGGAUGGGGCGAGGGCUUUACACACAGCGCAGGG